rnacentral:rRNA from 1 species
GUUUAUUUGAUAGUACCUUACUACAUGGGAUAACCGUGGUAAUUCUAGAGCUAAUACAUGCUAAAAACCUCGACUUCGGAAGGGGUGUAUUUAUUAGAUAAAAAACCAAUGCCCUUCGGGGCUCCUUGGUGAUUCAUAAUAACUUAACGAAUCGCAUGGCCUUGCGCCGGCGAUGGUUCAUUCAAAUUUCUGCCCUAUCAACUUUCGAUGGUACUUUAGUGGUAUGUUCCGAUUCGUAAAAUUUCCUCUUAUGAUAUGCUAACGAGUUCGCUGCAGGACUACCAUGGUUUCUACGGGUAACGGGGAAUUGUAAGUAUACCAAUUCUUUGAUUCCGUAGUGACAAUAAAUACUGAUAGGGAGCUCUUUUGGGUUUCCUAAUCGGAAUGAGUACAAUUUGGUUCGGCCGGACCUUUCCUUCUGGGGAGCCGCAUGCCCUUUAUUGGGUGUGCCGGGGAACCAGGACUUUUACUUUGAAAAAAUUAGAGUGUUCAAAGCAGGCAUAUGCUCGAAUACAUUAGCAUGGAAUAAUAGAAUAGGACGUGUGGUUCUAUUUUGUUGGUUUCUAGGACCGCCGUAAUGAUUAAUAGGGAUAGUCGGGGGCAUCUGGUAAAUACACAUCUCUCCUUCUAUAGAUAGACUCAUGCUAACUUGUAACAGUAUUUUCCAGCAAGAGGUGAAAUUCUUGGAUUUGGAAAAGACAAACUACUGCGAAAGCAUUUGCCAAGGAUGUUUUCAUUAAUCAGGGAACGAAAGUUAGGGGAUCGAAGACGAUCGUUUUCGGAUAACGUCACCCCCGUGGAUCCGCUGAAGGUGGUUCAUGGGCGUGUGUAUCUGGUCGUCUAUAGUUAAACUAGUUGGGGCAUCGUGCCGCCGGCCACACCGACAAACUGUUGGGGUUAUCACGGAUUAACGUCCUCUGGUUGACCCACAGCCAAGCUCUUCGGAGCGCAGUCUACAGACUGGAUGUUGGUGGGCGGUUUUUUUCGAAAGAACCGUCUUUGAUAUAGUCGAGUCUCACCGACCGUCUCGAUGAAGAAUUCACGCAGAUACCGUCGUAGUCUUAACCAUAAACUAUGCCGACUAGGGAUCGGACGGUGUUAUUUAUUUGACCCGUUCGGCACCUUACGAGAAAUCAAAGUUUUUGGGUUCUGGGGGGAGUAUGGUCGCAAGGCUGAAACUUAAAGACAUUGACGGAAGGGCACCACCAGGCGUAAAAAGUUUUCAGCAGCUCUGCGCCUAUUAUAACAACGCCGAUCAGCGGGAUCGGUUGGUGGGACUGUCCUGGUAUCAUGCCGAAAGUUGUUAACAGUCUCGUGUUCCGGGGCUACACACUAAUCGUGCGGGCAAACUGCCGUUCUUAGUUGGUACGUAUAAAUCUUUUAUCUCGUAGUUUUUGUGAUUAGCAUUUUCUAACCGUUUUUACAGGUGGAGUGAUUUGUCUGCUUAAUUGCGAUAACGAACGAGACCUUAACCUGCUACGAUGGAAGUUUGAGGCAAUAACAGGUUAAACCUUUCACAGGCCUGUUCAUGAGCGUGUUUUGAAAAGCACGCUGGUUGCAUGCUUUACUGGCGGCAGCCUCACAUCACUGGUACCGAGAAAACUUAAGGGUUGAUUCGCGGAAGGUCUGGGUAAUCUUGUUAAACUCUGUCGUGCUGGGGAUAGAGCAUUGCAAUUAUUGCUCUUCAACGAGGAAUGCCUAGUAAGCGCAAGUCAUCAGCUUGCGUUGAUUACGUCCCUGCCCUUUGUAUACAAGGGGCGCAGAGAACCACUAGACACCGAACCGAAUUCUAUCGUUUCUCGCUGUCGAUGCCUUCUAAACUGCGUGGACUCUACCCACUUUUGCAUGUAGGUAGAUACUCGAGACAUUUAGAGGAAGUAAAAGUCGUAACAAGGUUUCCGUAGGUGAACCUGCGGAAGGAUCAUUACCGAGAGAAGGGGGUCUAACCGGCCCCAGCUCUUCACCCUUGUUCACAUGACUGUGUUGCUUUGGCUGGUGGACAUCUCGUUCAAACGCC